CCUACGGGUGGCAGCAGUGGGGGAUAUUGCACAAUGGGGGGAACCCUGAUGCAGCGACGCCGCGUGGGUGAAGAAGCGCCUCGGCGCGUAAAGCCCUGUCAGCAGGGAAGAAAAUGACGGUACCUGAAGAAGAAGCCCCGGCUAACUACGUGCCAGCAGCCGCGGUAAUACGUAGGGGGCAAGCGUUAUCCGGAUUUACUGGGUGUAAAGGGGGCGCAGGCGGGGAUGCAAGCCAGGAGUGAAAGCCCGGGGGCCAACCCCGGGACUGCUCUUGGAACUGCGUGGCUGGAGUGCAGGAGAGGCAGGCGGAAUGCCUGGUGUAGCGGUGAAAUGCGUAGAUAUCAGGAGGAACACCGGUGGCGAAGGCGGCCUGCUGGACUGCAACUGACGUUGAGGCCCGAAAGCGUGGGGAGCAAACAGGAUUAGAUACCCGAGUAGUC
rnacentral:rRNA from 1 species